UCUAUAUGCAAUUUUAAAUCAGCUGGCUACAUGUAGUUCUAGGAAGAGUUUAUCUAUCAUAAACUCUUGGUUCUAGUGAGGCAGAGCGGCGCGGCUCAUGUCAAUGAUUCUUCCAGAGACUAGACUCAUGCAUAUACACUACUGUGGACCAGACUCAUCUACUUGUAAGAAGGUAAAAGGUAUAUAAAAAGGAGGAACCUCAGUCUGAUUAUUACUACACUUUAUCAAUACUUGCUUCUAUACAACUACAGGUAGUAGUGUACUGUAUGUAGGUGGCUGUUGAUUAUGUCAAGAAUUGCCAGCAUGAACUCGUGAGCAUCUUCUUGGUUUAUACCUGUUUGGAGCGUGGUAUGACUAUCCUAUAGCCGAAUGUCUUUUUCUAUCGCUAUAUAGGGCUGGAGACAGAAGGGUUAUGGCUGCCAGUGAUGCAUCUCAAUAAAAAACUGAGAGUUUCCAGAGGAAGAAACGUGGGAUACAUGCAGCCUCACUAUACAUGAUAACUUUUCACUUCACUUCACUUCCCUGAACAUAAUUUCUGUUACAAGUUUACAUCGAAUGUGCAUUAAUAGUCUCUGUACCAUGACUGUGGUAAUCAAUGAAA